rnacentral:rRNA from 1 species
UACGUAGGGUGCGAGCGUUGUCCGGAAUUAUUGGGCGUAAAGGGCUCGUAGGCGGUUUGUCGCGUCGGGAGUGAAAACCUCGGGCUUAACUCGGGGCUUGCUUUCGAUACGGGCAGACUGGAGGUAUGCAGGGGGAGAACGGAAUUCCUGGUGUAGCGGUGAAAUGCGCAGAUAUCAGGAGGAACACCGGUGGCGAAGGCGGUUCUCUGGGCAUGACCUGACGCUGAGGAGCGAAAGUGUGGGGAGCGAACAGG